rnacentral:rRNA from 1 species
UAAUGAGGCGAACCGGGGGAACUGAAACAUCUAAGUACCCCGAGGAAAAGAAAUCAACCGAGAUUCCCCCAGUAGCGGCGAGCGAACGGGGAGCAGCCCAGAGCCUGAAUCAGUAUGUGUGUUAGUGGAAGCGUCUGGAAAGGCGCGCGAUACAGGGUGACAGCCCCGUACACAAAAAUGCACAUGCUGUGAGCUCGAUGAGUAGGGCGGGACACGUGGUAUCCUGUCUGAAUAUGGGGGGACCAUCCUCCAAGGCUAAAUACUCCUGACUGACCGAUAGUGAACCAGUACCGUGAGGGAAAGGCGAAAAGAACCCCGGCGAGGGGAGUGAAAAAGAACCUGAAACCGUGUACGUACAAGCAGUGGGAGCACGCUUAGGCGUGUGACUGCGUACCUUUUGUAUAAUGGGUCAGCGACUUAUAUUCUGUAGCAAGGUUAACCGAAUAGGGGAGCCGAAGGGAAACCGAGUCUUAACUGGGCGUUAAGUUGCAGGGUAUAGACCCGAAACCCGGUGAUCUAGCCAUGGGCAGGUUGAAGGUUGGGUAACACUAACUGGAGGACCGAACCGACUAAUGUUGAAAAAUUAGCGGAUGACUUGUGGCUGGGGGUGAAAGGCCAAUCAAACCGGGAGAUAGCUGGUUCUCCCCGAAAGCUAUUUAGGUAGCGCCUCGUGAAUUCAUCUCCGGGGGUAGAGCACUGUUUCGGCAAGGGGGUCAUCCCGACUUACCAACCCGAUGCAAACUGCGAAUACCGGAGAAUGUUAUCACGGGAGACACACGGCGGGUGCUAACGUCCGUCGUGAAGAGGGAAACAACCCAGACCGCCAGCUAAGGUCCCAAAGUCAUGGUUAAGUGGGAAACGAUGUGGGAAGGCCCAGACAGCCAGGAUGUUGGCUUAGAAGCAGCCAUCAUUUAAAGAAAGCGUAAUAGCUCACUGGUCGAGUCGGCCUGCGCGGAAGAUGUAACGGGGCUAAACCAUGCACCGAAGCUGCGGCAGCGACGCUGAUGCGUUGUUGGGUAGGGGAGCGUUCUGUAAGCCUGCGAAGGUGUGCUGUGAGGCAUGCUGGAGGUAUCAGAAGUGCGAAUGCUGACAUAAGUAACGAUAAAGCGGGUGAAAAGCCCGCUCGCCGGAAGACCAAGGGUUCCUGUCCAACGUUAAUCGGGGCAGGGUGAGUCGACCCCUAAGGCGAGGCCGAAAGGCGUAGUCGAUGGGAAACAGGUUAAUAUUCCUGUACUUGGUGUUACUGCGAAGGGGGGACGGAGAAGGCUAUGUUGGCCGGGCGACGGUUGUCCCGGUUUAAGCGUGUAGGCUGGUUUUCCAGGCAAAUCCGGAAAAUCAAGGCUGAGGCGUGAUGACGAGGCACUGCGGUGCUGAAGCAACAAAUGCCCUGCUUCCAGGAAAAGCCUCUAAGCAUCAGGUAACAUCAAAUCGUACCCCAAACCGACACAGGUGGUCAGGUAGAGAAUACCAAGGCGCUUGAGAGAACUCGGGUGAAGGAACUAGGCAAAAUGGUGCCGUAACUUCGGGAGAAGGCACGCUGAUAUGUAGGUGAAGUCCCUCGCGGAUGGAGCUGAAAUCAGUCGAAGAUACCAGCUGGCUGCAACUGUUUAUUAAAAACACAGCACUGUGCAAACACGAAAGUGGACGUAUACGGUGUGACGCCUGCCCGGUGCCGGAAGGUUAAUUGAUGGGGUUAGCGCAAGCGAAGCUCUUGAUCGAAGCCCCGGUAAACGGCGGCCGUAACUAUAACGGUCCUAAGGUAGCGAAAUUCCUUGUCGGGUAAGUUCCGACCUGCACGAAUGGCGUAAUGAUGGCCAGGCUGUCUCCACCCGAGACUCAGUGAAAUUGAACUCGCUGUGAAGAUGCAGUGUACCCGCGGCAAGACGGAAAGACCCCGUGAACCUUUACUAUAGCUUGACACUGAACAUUGAGCCUUGAUGUGUAGGAUAGGUGGGAGGCUU